UGGGGAAUAUUGGACAAUGGGCGCAAGCCUGAUCCAGCCAUGCCGCGUGAACGAUGAAGGCCUUAGGGUUGUAAAGUUCUUUUGUCAGGGAAGAUAAUGACGGUACCUGAAGAAUAAGCACCGGCUAACUUCGUGCCAGCAGCCGCGGUAAUACGAAGGGUGCUAGCGUUGUUCGGAAUCACUGGGCGUAAAGCGCGCGUAGGCGGCGAUAUAAGUCAGAGGUGAAAGCCUGGAGCUCAACUCCAGAACUGCCUUUGAAACUAUAUUGCUAGAGUGUCGGAGGGGGUAGCGGAAUUGCUAAUGUAGAGGUGAAAUUCGUAGAUAUUAGCAGGAACACCGGUGGCGAAGGCGGCUAUCUGGACGACAACUGACGCUGAGGCGCGAAAGCGUGGGGAUCAAACAGGAUUAGAUACCCAAGUAGUCCCUGAGCGGGCUGGCAAGGCGCAU
rnacentral:rRNA from 1 species